rnacentral:rRNA from 1 species
UACGUAGGGUGCAAGCGUUGUCCGGAAUUAUUGGGCGUAAAGAGCUCGUAGGCGGUUUUGUUGCGUCGGCUGUGAAAUCCCGAGGCUCAACCUCGGGUCUGCAGUCGAUACGAGCAAACUAGAGUGUUGCAGGGGAGACUGGAAUUCCUGGUGUAGCGGUGAAAUGCGCAGAUAUCAGGAGGAACACCGGUGGCGAAGGCGGGUCUCUGGGCAACAACUGACGCUGAGGAGCGAAAGCGUGGGGAGCGAACAGG